rnacentral:rRNA from 1 species
ACGGAAGGCAGCAGUCGGGAAUAUUGCACAAUGGGGGAAACCCUGAUGCAGCGACGCCGCGUAAAGGAAGAAGGUCUUCGGAUUGUAAACUUUUGUCGACAGGGAAGAAACAAAUGACAGUACCUGUGGAGGAAGCCCCGGCUAACUACGUGCCAGCAGCCGCGGUAAUACGUAGGGGGCGAGCGUUAUCCGGAUUUACUGGGUGUAAAGGGCGCGUAGGCGGAACUUUAAGUCUGAUGUGAAAUACCAAGGCUCAACUUUGGCACUGCAUCGGAAACUGGAGAUCUAGAGUGUGGGAGAGGAAAGCGGAAUUCUCAGUGUAGCGGUGAAAUGCGUAGAUAUUGAGAGGAACACCGGUGGCGAAGGCGGCUUUCUGGACCAUAACUGACGCUGAGGCGCGAAAGCGUGGGUAGCAAACAGGAUUAGAUACCCUGGUA